rnacentral:rRNA from 1 species
AUUGAACGCUAGCGGGAUGCUUUACACAUGCAAGUCGAACGAGUGGCGGACGGGUGAGUAAUAUAUCGGAACGUGCCCAGUAGCGGGGGAUAACUACUCGAAAGAGUGGCUAAUACCGCAUAAUAUUGGAGCGGCCGAUAUCGGAUUAGCUAGUUGGUGGGGUAAAGGCUCACCAAGGCAACGAUCCGUAGCUGGCUGUAGAGGACGACCAGCCACACUGGGACUGAGACAAGGUCCCGACUCCUACGGGAGGCAGCAGGUGGGAGUUUUGUACAAUGGUGGCAACACUGAUCCAGCCAUCCCGCGUGUAUGAGAAGGCCUUCGGGUUGUAAAGUCCUUUUGGCAGAGAAGCGGUAUCUGCAGAAUAAGCACCGGCUAACUACGUGCCAGCAGCCGCGGUAAUAC